rnacentral:rRNA from 1 species
CUUGUUAGUUGCCAUCAUUCAGUUGGGCACUCUAGCGAGACUGCCGGUAAUAAACCGGAGGAAGGUGGGGAUGACGUCAAAUCAUCAUGCCCUUAUGACCUGGGCUACACACGUGCUACAAUGGUUGGUACAACGAGUUGCGAGUCGGUGACGGCGAGCUAAUCUCUUAAAGCCAAUCUCAGUUCGGAUUGUAGGCUGCAACUCGCCUACAUGAAGUCGGAAUCGCUAGUAAUCGCGGAUCAGCACGCCGCGGUGAGUACGUUCCCGGGCCUU